GUGAAUCAUCAAAUUUUUGAACGCAAAUUGCACUCCCUGGUAUUCCGGGGAGUAUGCCUGUUUGAGGGUCGUUAGAAUAAAAAAUCUAGGCGUCGGUCUUUUUUUGAGGGUGUUCGCGUCGGUAUUGAGCGGUCUUUCCGAUGUUAAUUCAUGUCAAAUUGCCUUGAAAUUCAUCUAUCGGGUACGCUUCAAACGUAC
rnacentral:misc_RNA from 1 species